UGCGCCUGCACCAAUCGAAAGAUCUCGGGUCUCAAUCCCUGCUCGAACAGAUAAACUCGAUGCGCCUCGUCUCGAGCCACAAAAGGAACACAAUUCAGGAGUCGAGUAAACUCCCGGAUGUACUCCUGAAUUGUCCGCUCGUCCUGCUGAAUUCUCUUCAGAUUCUUCUCGAGCUUCUGUUUCACGCUAUUGGAAAAAUACAUCCCGAACAGCAUUCCACAAAACUCGUCCCACUUCAGCUGCAACGCCACUAAUCCAUAGUCUCGUCUCACCCUCCUCCACCAGGCGUGAGCAUCGCCUUCUAAGCAGUGUACUCCCAAAGACACCUG
rnacentral:lncRNA from 1 species